rnacentral:misc_RNA from 1 species
GAUGAAGAACGUAGCGAAAUGCGAUAAGUAAUGUGAAUUGCAGAAUUCAGUGAUCAUCGAAUCUUUGAACGCACAUUGCGCCCCCUGGUAUUCCGGGGGGCAUGCCUGUUCGAGCGUCAUUUCACCACUCAAGCCUCGCUUGGUAUUGGGCAACGCGGUCCGCCGCGUGCCUCAAAUCGACCGGCUGGGUCUUCUGUCCCCUAAGCGUUGUGGAAACUAUUCGCUAAAGGGUGUUCGGGAGGCUACGCCGUAAAACAACCCCAUUUCUAAGGUUGACCUCGGAUCAGGUAGGGAUACCCGCUGAACUUAAGCAUAUCAAUAAGCGGAGGA